rnacentral:rRNA from 1 species
GAUGAACGCUGGCGGCGUGCCUAAUACAUGCAAGUCGAGCGAACAGACGAGGAGCUUGCUCCUCUGACGUUAGCGGCGGACGGGUGAGUAACACGUGGAUAACCUACCUAUAAGACUGGGAUAACUUCGGGAAACCGGAGCUAAUACCGGAUAAUAUAUUGAACCGCAUGGUUCAAUAGUGAAAGACGGUUUUGCUGUCACUUAUAGAUGGAUCCGCGCCGCAUUAGCUAGUUGGUAAGGUAACGGCUUACCAAGGCAACGAUGCGUAGCCGACCUGAGAGGGUGAUCGGCCACACUGGAACUGAGACACGGUCCAGACUCCUACGGGAGGCAGCAGUAGGGAAUCUUCCGCAAUGGGCAAAAGCCUGACGGAGCAACGCCGCGUGAGUGAUGAUGGUCUUCGGAUCGUAAAACUCUGUUAUUAGGGAAGAACAAAUGUGUAAGUAACUAUGCACGUCUUGACGGUACCUAAUCAGAAAGCCACGGCUAACUACGUG